AAUUGGAGGGCAAGUCUGGUGCCAGCAGCCGCGGUAAUUCCAGCUCCAAUAGCGUAUAUUAAAGUUGUUGCAGUUAAAAAGCUCGUAGUUGAAUUUCGGGAUCAGUAGGUCGGUCAUGCCUAUGGUAUGUACUGGCUUUACUGAUUCCUCCUUCUUGAUGAACUGUAAUGUCAUUAAUUUGGUGUUGCAAGGAAUCAGGACUGUUACUUUGAAAAAAUUAGAGUGUUUAAAGCAGGCAUACGCUUGAAUACAUUAGCAUGGAAUAAUGAAAUAGGACGUUCGAUCCUAUUUUGUUGGUUUCUAGGAUUGACGUAAUGAUUAAUAGGGAUAGUUGGGGGCAUUAGUAUUCAAUUGUCAGAGGUGAAAUUCUUGGAUUUAUUGAAGACUAACUACUGCGAAAGCAUUUGCCAAGGAUGUUUUCAUUAAUCAAGAACGAAAGUUAGGGGAUCGAAGACGAUCAGAUACCGUCGUAGUCUUAACCAUAAACUAUGCCGACUAGGGAUCGGAUGAUGUUAUUUUUAAUGACUCAUUCGGCGCCUUACGGGAAACCAAAGUGU
rnacentral:rRNA from 1 species